rnacentral:rRNA from 1 species
UACGGAGGGAGCUAGCGUUGUUCGGAAUUACUGGGCGUAAAGCGCUCGCAGGUGGCCCGAUGCGUCGUGCGUGAAAGACCCCGGCUCAACUGGGGGGUGUCGUGCGAUACGGUCGGGCUGGAGGCCAGUAGGGGGAUGCGGAAUUCCGGGUGUAGUGGUGGAAUGCGUAGAGAUCCGGAGGAACACCAGCGGCGAAGGCGGCAUCCUGGACUGGUCCUGACACUCAUGAGCGAAAGCGUGGGGAGCGAUCCGG